GUGCUCGCAUCGGCAGCACAUAUACUAAAAUUGGAACGACACAGAGAAGAAUAGCAUGACCCCUGCGCAAGGAUCACAUGCAAAUUCGUGAAGAAUUCCAUAUUUUU
ensembl:snRNA LOC120099043 U6 spliceosomal RNA